rnacentral:ncRNA from 1 species
UGAAAGUUUUAUUCUUGCUUAUUUAUUUAUUUUUUCUUUAUAUUAUAUGUAAGUUUUGUGAUACUAAAUGUUCUUUUUGCAGUAAUUUAAUUUAUUAAUCAAGUUAUUUUGGAACUAGUAAUUGAAAAAGUAUCAGCAUAUUUCGUGCCAGCAGCUGCGGUUAUACGAUUGAUACAAUUAAAUAUUUUUGGUUAUACAGUUAUUAGGAUUUUUGAGUAAAAAAUUUAAAUUUUUAAGGUGAAAUUUUUUUUUAAAAAAGAUUAUUCUUUUUAUGAAUCUGUGAAAUUUAAUUAAUAAACUAGGAUUAGAUACCCUAUUAUUUUGGAUGUUAAUUUUGUUUACCUGGGUAGUAAUAGUUAAUUUCUUGAAACCCAAAGAAUUUGGCGGUAUUUUAUUCCAUUCAGAGGAACCUAUCCCAUUAUUGAUAGUACACGAUUAGCUUUACUUAAUUUAAUUGUUUGUAUAUCUCCGUUACCAGAAAAUCUUUUUAGAGAUAUAAUUUUCUUUAUUUAUUAUUAUAAAGUAUUUCAGGUCAAGGUGCAGCUUAUAAUUAAGAGGAGGUGGGUUACAAUAUAUUUUUAUAUUUGGAUUUAAUAAUGAAUAUUAUUAAUGAAAUUGGAUUUGAUAGUAAUUUAAUUUAUUUAAUUUAAUUGAUAUUGGCUCUGAGGUGUGUACACAUCGCCCGUCGCUCUCAUUGUAAAAUUUAUUUAUUUAUUGUUUAACUAAUUGAGAUAAGUCGUAACAUAGUAGAUGUACUGGAAGGUGUAUCUGGUAAGUU